rnacentral:lncRNA from 1 species
GAACAGACUAGGGAGUCUGGGGAGUUGAACUUUGAACUUGGCUUUUUUUGAUAAGAGAUUUUUGUUCAGCUGUGCUGCUUUGGCUCAGAUACAUUCUCGCAUUAUGGAGGACUUGUCACUUCGAGUUACUGCAGAGGCAUAAACUUGUACCACAUAGGCAGGCAAGACUGGCACAUGCCUUUAGUCUCAGCCUGUGCGACGAGGCAGAUACAGGCAGAUCUCUGAGUUUGAGACCAGCCUGGUCUACACAGAGAAACCCUGUUUCAAAAAACGAAACGAAACCAAACAAAACGCCCACAAGCCUCCUACCACCACCCCCCCGCAAAAAAAAAAAAAAAAAAAAAAAAAAAAAACUCGUCAUACCCUGUGAAAAUCAGAAGGAAUCUUGAGAUUAUCUGUUGCCAUUACUAUUGUUGUUAUUAUUAUCGCUAUUAUUAUUGUACAAUGUAAAAGAGAUGCUGGCCUUAUGGCAGCGACUGACUGUUUCAUUGUGCAGAGGAAACAGCAACCCAGGGAUGAUAACCAGCCUGUGUAAGGUUGCGGUAGCCAGCAGUAAACUGGAAACAUGUUCGUGUAUUUCAAGCUUUCCAUAACCUUCUCUGUCCAUCUUUACAGGAAUGAGUAAGUUGCUGCAUUUUAAACAGGAAAAACAGCUUUUAAGAGAGGCCCUUUAAUGGCAGAGUUGUAGCAAACAGCUAAAUCUUUCAGAACCUUGAAUGAAUGUUCUCCAAAAAAACCAAAUGGGACUUUCUUAAAGUUGUUUGUAUGAAGCAAUAAUAGCAGCCGGAAAUGGCAGUGCACACUUCGUUUUUUUGUUUGUUUUUUGUUUUUUGAGACGUGGCUCUGUAGACCAGGCUAGCCUCUAACUCAGAGAUCCUCCUGCCUUUGCCUAACGAGUGCUCGAAUUAAAGGCAUGCAGCAUCACAGCCCAGCAGCGAUACACACUUGUAAUCACAGCACUUGGGAUGCCGAGGCAGGAGGAUCUGAGAGUUCAGGGCCACCUUCAGCUACAUAGUGAGAUUCAGGCUAACCUGGGCCACCAACAGCAAUAGUAAAGUUAAAAUUUUAGGAAAGAAUCACUGUAUCUUAAUCAUUUAUUUGAUGACAGCUAAUCUUAUAGAUUACCAAAGCAGAUAAAAUUUUCUCAAGAAAUACUGAAUUUGAUGCUUCAUGUUGCCUUUUAUAGAGCAACAGAUGGUAAGAAUUUUACACUCCUGGUGUGAGAAAGAUCUAAUCAUGACAGCUGAUAAUAUUCAAAUAGUUUGCCCUUAUACGUCUAACUAUAUAGGACACUAUAGUAUGCAUGUUUUAGAAAAUGUUUGGCCACAUGGUUGUUUAUUUGUAAAUAACUCUGUUCUUUGAUUAUAUGGUGCUGUUCUUGACUGUAUGUUUUCCCUGGGUUUAGUUUAGGUUAUUUUCAAAACACAAGCAUCAUAACUUUUCUGUUAUCUAUUUAUGGCAAGUCUUCUACUUUUCAUAAAUGCUUUCAGGAAUAUACAGCUUUAAAUAUUAUACUAUCUCUCUUGGUAAUUUUUUUAUGUAAAAUAUUAAGAUUGGAUUUAUAAUAAUAAUAUAUAUUUUUCCUGAAGUGGGAAGGGGAAAGCAGUCAUUGGAUUAGUUUCCAUUCAUAAAGAAAUACGAGGCUCAGUUACACGGUUGUUUAAUGUAUAUUCUUUGUUUUGUUUUGUUUUUCUUUUUUUCGAGACAGGGUUUCUCUGUAUAGUCCUGGCUGUCCUGGAACUCACUUUGUAGACCAGGCUGGCCUCGAACUCAGAAAUCUGCUUGCCUCUGACUCCCAAGUGCUGGGAUUAAUGUAUAUUCUUAUUUUGCCACAUCUGUGUUAAAAGAAGUUUAUUGUAGUUAUGUUUUUAACUUUAAAUACAUAGUACUUUUAUUUUUUUGAGACAGGGUCUGUCUAAAAAGCCCUGGUUGUCCUGGAACUCACUCUGUAGACCAGGCUGGCCUAGAACUCAGAGAUUGUGUUUGCCUCUUCCUCCCAAGUGCUGGGAUUAAAGGCAUGCACUACCGUGCCCAGCCGUGGCGCCCUUGUUCUUGAAGUGAAGCAGAAGUAGUUUGUAAGGAACAUUUUCAAUUUUUUUUUUCUUUUUUUGAGGUGAGGGUCUCAUUAUGUUGUCUAGGGUUGGUCUUGAACUCCUGGCCCCAAAUGAUCCUCUUGCCUCAACCUCCAGAGUAGUUGGGACUAUAGGCACAGAAACAUUUAAAUUGAGAAUUUUGGUGAUAAAGUCUAUUGUGCCAUAUUACAGUUAAGCGUCAUGUAAACAAGGUGGGCCUCAUAGUCCUGGAGAGAAACUGACCCCCAUCUUUCUAGGCCGAGGCGCUUCUUAUUGUUAAUGGGUGGAAUCACACUGGACUUUAAUUCUUUUCAUUAAUUUUAGUGGAUAGAGGGGAUUGCUCCUUAGAGUGGCCUUGUCAGUACAUUUCUUUGGAUGUUUUGUAAUAUUUGUGUGUGUGGUGCUAGCAUGCUAGACAAAGCACGGUACCACUUUACAACAUUGCAGCCCCGUGUUCCAGAUUAUCAUUAGUGUCGGCAAGAAGAGUUUAAAGAUAAUUUGAUUUUGCACCAUUUCUUGAUUUUUUUUCAAUGUUGGUACAAACAGUAAGACUUAAGGUGGCUGAAGUCUGUUUUAUGAAGGCUUUUCUAUUUUAUAUUGUGCUCUUCAUUUGUAUUUGAGUCUGUCUAAUUUGAAAUAAAAGCUUUAUAC